rnacentral:lncRNA from 1 species
GUCCCGUCACGUUGUGAGAGCGCGCGCGCGUUAACUUUAGGGGUCGUUCUCGUGCACUCGCGUGUUCUGACAGGUGAGCGCGCGCAGCUGCCUGGUCGCUCUGCGUUUGACAGAUGGAGUUGGUUUGACUUGGAGUCAGGGCAGAAGCGUUUGGUUAAAAACAGGACGAAAUUGAGGUCUUUUUUUAUCUGCAAUGAGAGGUGAACAGACUGAAAAUGGAGAAAACUCAACGAACUCGGAGAGCAAAAUCCUGAUGAACCAGCUGAUGGAGAUCACUGGCAUCCAGGACCCACAGAUCCUCUACAGAGCCUUGAAUGCCAGUCAGGGUGACGUCGGACAUGCUGUUGGACUGCUGACAACCCAGUCUGCAGAGGUUCAGGAUCCUGGUGAGCCACAGGAGUCAGGGACCUCUGCAGAGGCCUGGGAGGGCCAGAAAGGACUUCCUAAAGAUGAACUGCAGACUGCCAUAGAACUCAGCCUGCAGGAAUCCCACAAUGCCCAGGAAGAGGAGAGAGAAUUAAAUAGGUACAAGAGAACCUGCUUUUUAUAAAAUCCUUCUUUGUUACUGUACUGCUGACUGUCAUGGAGAAUAG